CCAAGGAGUCUAACAUGUGUGCGAGUCGUCAGGUCGUUCAAAAAAUGACGAAACCUGAACGGCGCAAUGAAAGUGAAGGCCGACCGUCUCGCUUGCCCCUUCUCUCUCUCGUGGAGGUUGGGGUUGGCAGCGGUGAGCCAAGGCGGGAUCCGAGAAACACAGCCGGGGUGUACAGAAAAUCGACCCGUGCGCCGUAUUCAUUCUCUUUCCGUUUCUUCCCUUCCUCACGGGGGUGGAAGAGCGGGGAGGUUUGGAGGCGUCGGGUGAGCUAACAAAAAUUACGCUCGCACCCCGGUCGGCGCACCGCCGGCCCGUCUCCAUGCCGCAACGUCGGUGAGGCGGAGCCAGAGCGUACACGUUGGGACCCGAAAGAUGGUGAACUAUGCUUGGGCAGGACGAAGCCAGAGGAAACUCUGGUGGAGGUCCGUAGCGAUUCUGACGUGCAAAUCGAUCGUCGGACCUGAGUAUAGGGGCGAAAGACUAAUCGAACCGUCUA
rnacentral:rRNA from 1 species